UACGUAGGGGGCCAGCGUUGUCCGGAAUUACUGGGCGUAAAGCGCACGCAGGCGGUUUGGAAAGCGGCGGGUGCAAUACCGGGGCUCAACUCCGGCACCGCUCGCCGAACUACCAGACUGGAGCACGGGAGAGGGCAGUGGAAUUCCCGGUGUAGCGGUGGAAUGCGUAAAUAUCGGGAGGAACACCAGUGGCGAAGGCUGCUGCCUGGAACGUUGCUGACGCUGAGGUGCGAAAGCCAGGGGAG
rnacentral:rRNA from 1 species